ensembl:lncRNA
UGAUAACAUCACCAAAACUAUAUUGUAAGAUGAGUAAUCCAUUAGUUAUUAGGUAGGGAGGUUUGAGGCAAAGAGGAGGACAGACUGAAGUCAUAAGGACUUUUGAAGUAAGGAAUGAGAAAGGUGACAGUGGGAACUGGAGCGCAGGAAUGGAGAGGAGCUUCACUGUGGAGGUAAUGCCAGGAGCUUUAGCAUGUGUUUGGAUGUGUUGGCAGACGGGGAGGUGGGGGCAGGUGAGGCCACAGUCUUCAGCCCGGUGCCCAAGAAGGAACCUGAGGAGAAGAAGCAGACAGAAGUCAGGAGAAGGCACUGGAUGCAGGGGAGUUCGAGUCUUAAAGAGCUGCAAGCCAUGUUAGGAGGCCAGAUGCCUGAUGCUGAGGUGACUACAAGUUUGGGAAGCAGACAGCUGGGCCAACCCACACGCCAGAAUCGCCUACACACCACAUCUUUACAGCUGCUCUCAGCAGCGCAGACGAGGAGUGCCUUUUAAAAGACAUUUUGAAGAGGGAGUGGGGGUGGGGGAGAAAACCACAGAAAUCAUAGAGUAAUAACCACCUCAGCAUAGCGUCCCAUGUACCUUAAGGUUAGCUUCUGAAACUGAAAUCUUCGCUUUUAGCAAUUUCUCCCACGGCCAUAAAAAUAAAAGCAACUUCCGUCUCUAAAGUAGGUCACACAGAGAGAGCGAGAAGAUAAAUGCAGAUGCCAAGGCACUUUCACCCUUUUCCAGACCAAAAAUAAAACUUGGAAAUUGAAGAAAAUGGGAGGUUUGGUGCAACUUGAGGAAAAAGUGGGUGGGGCGCUCGUGCCCAGACCUUCUUGAGCGGGAGAACUUGACUCAGUGGCGGUUCCUCCCGAUGACUGCCCCCGAUUGCACAGUACCUCUUCACACCCUCUAGCUCACUUCCUGCUGGUCACCUUUGUUGCAGGAUUCCAGUGGCUUAGAACUACUCCCCCGCUCCCACUUCUGGUAACUCACUAAAAAAUUUCUAUUAAUCAAUCAAAGUCUAGAGGGAGGAGACAAGGCAAAGAGGCAAUUUUGGAUUUCUUCAUCAGAACAGCUCUGUGAUUCAUUUUCUCUUCUAGAAAGUGGCACACGCAGUUCCAGCAAACGGAAGUAGGAGCAGAAAUGCUGUGUAGCCCAUGUUUGGGCUCCCCUGGCUUUGCCUCUCCUUUCCUCCACCUGGCCACAAGCCAAGCUGGUUUUCAGUGGCUGCUCCUGUUUCUAGGAUGGAUACUCCCCUCCCCACCCCCUGCUAUUAUGAUGGAAUUGGGGCAUCUGGUGAGGCAUCAGAGUUGGACAACCAGCUGCCACAGCUGUAGUUUGAUCUCCAGGGCAUAGAAUCUCUGGAAACUCUAAAUCCCAAGGUCAAGAAAUCCACCUCUGCUCCUUCUCAGCCAGCAGCAGCAUUCCCAAUCACAGCUCUUCCCCAGGUAAACAAUGAAUGUGAGCGUCUUCAGGAGAGGGUGGAAGGAGGGCAGUCUUAGAAAGACCCCGACAGAGAGAUGGAUAGACAAAACAACUACAGCACAGAAGAAACUAUCUAUGCCACAAGGGGAACGAUGAUGCUGUGACCAGCUAGAAAGAAACAGCCAAGCAGAUGUGGAUCACUUUGGAGAAAAACUCUCAUGGGUGGUAUCCUGGAUUCAGGAAAGGGAUCAAGUGUGGGGAGUAGCCAAAGGAAAUCCUGCACCUCAGCAACAACUUCAGUGCUUUGAGCAGAGGGAACAGAAUGGCUUUCUUUCACCUCAGAGAAAGUGAGUUUGCAGCAGCUGCCCAGCCCCAAGACUUGAGAGGUGGAAUGGGUUGAAGAACAAGCAGGUGGGAACACAUCACUUUUGGCACAUCCCCGAGUUCUAGAAAAAGUGAA